GUGCUCACUUUAGCAGCACAUGUACUAAAAUUGGAAUGAUACAGAGAGGAUUAGUAUGGGCCAUGCACAAAGAUGACACACAAAUUUGGGAAGCAUUCCUAAUUUUU
ensembl:snRNA U6 U6 spliceosomal RNA